UACGGGGGGGGCAAGCGUUGUUCGGAAUUACUGGGCGUAAAGGGCUCGUAGGCGGCCAACUAAGUCGGAUGUGAAAUCCCCAGGCUUAACCUGGGAACUGCAUCCGAUACUGGAUGGCUUGAAUCCGGGAGAGGGAUGCGGAAUUCCAGGUGUAGCGGUGAAAUGCGUAGAUAUCUGGAGGAAUACCGAUGGCGAAGGCAGCCUCCUGGGCCAACACUGACGCUCAUGCACGAAAGCGUGGGGAGCAAACAGG
rnacentral:rRNA from 1 species